GACGAACGCUGGCGGCGUGCUUAACACAUGCAAGUCGAACGGAAAGGCCCUGCUUUUGUGGGUUGCUCGAGUGGCGAACGGGUGAGUAACACGUGAGUAACCUGCCCUUGACUUUGGGAUAACUUCAGGAAACUGGGGCUAAUACCGGAUAUGAGCUCCUGCUGCAUGGUGUGGAUUGGAAAGUUUCGGCGGUUGGGGAUGGACUCGCUGCUUAUCAGCUUGUUUGUGGGGUAGUGGCUUACCAAGGCUUUGAAGGGUAGCCGGCCUGAGAGGGUGACCGGCCACAAUGGGACUGAGAUACGGCCCAGACGCCUACGGGAGGCAGCAGUGGAGAAUAUUGCAGAAUAGGCGGAAGCCUGAGGCAGCAACGCCGGGAGCGGAAUGACGGCCUUUGGGUUAAAAACAGCUUUCGACUGUGACGAAGAGUGAGUGACGGUAAUGGGUAAAGAAGCACCGGCUAACUACGUG
rnacentral:rRNA from 1 species